rnacentral:rRNA from 1 species
CCUACGGGAGGCAGCAGUGAGGAAUAUUGGUCAAUGGACGAGAGUCUGAACCAGCCAAGUAGCGUGAAGGAUGCGUGCCCUAUGGGUUGUAAACUUCUUUUAUAUGGGAAUAAAAUGUUCCACGUGUGGGAUUUUGUAUGUACCAUAUGAAUAAGGAUCGGCUAACUCCGUGCCAGCAGCCGCAGUAAUACGGAGGAUCCGAGCGUUAUCCGGAUUUAUUGGGUUUAAAGGGAGCGUAGGUGGAUUGUUAAGUCAGUUGUGAAAGUUUGCGGCUCAACCGUAAAAUUGCAGUUGAAACUGGCAGUCUUGAGUACAGUAGAGGUGGGCGGAAUUCGUGGUGUAGCGGUGAAAUGCUUAGAUAUCACGAAGAACUCCGAUUGCGAAGGCAGUUCACUGGACUGCAACUGACACUGAGGCUCGAAAGUGUGGGUAUCAAACAGGAUUAGAUACCCCUGUAGUC